rnacentral:rRNA from 1 species
GACAGAGGGUGCAAACGUUGUUCGGAUUUACUGGGCGUAAAGCGCGUGUAGGCGGCUUCGUAAGUUGGAUGUGAAAUCCCACGGCUCAACCGUGGACGUGCAUCCAAAACUACGUCGCUGGAGUCUCGGAGAGGAAGGUGGAAUGCUUGGUGUAGAGGUGAAAUUCGUAGAUAUCAAGCAGAACGCCUGCGGCGAAGGCGGCCUUCUGGACGAUGACUGACGCUGAGACGCGAAAGCGUGAAAAGCAAACAGG